UCCCGCCGAGCAAUUUCCCACCGCCGCCUUCUUUUCCUUCCUCCCCGGCAGGAAUCCGGUCACGGGAGCCCACGGGGGACGUCCUGCGAAGCUCUCCUGCGGUGUAAAGAAAGAAAAAAUUGGCUGCAAAUGGAAACGUCAUGUUCUGAUGCAGGAGAAAAAAACCAAGAUCGGAGCAGAGGGUGGCAGGAGCAUCAUGAGCUGCAAGGAAACCCAAGCUAAGAAACCCCCCGCGUUCCUGACUCAUCUCUCGUCUCUAAAGCCAAAAAGGGGCUUUUUAGCUCUUUCUCCCCCAAAGGAGCAACGCCUAAUUGCAACAUUUGCCAUUCAAAGCACUGCGGGGGCUCGUGUGAGGGUCGCCCAUCCUUCCGCAAAGCUGUCAGCGGGAGAUUGUGGCGGUGGGAAGGAGACCAAAAAAUGGAUGUGUGAGCCUGAUGUCUCUCCCAGGAAGCAAAAAUCCCCAAGCCUGCCGAACACAUCUUUUAACCCGGAGUUACGCACGCAACAAGCUGAAAACAUCGUGAUUUGGACAUCCAUGGGGGGAAAAAAAAAACAAAAAACCAACCAAACACAAACAAACCCAGCGCAGCUGGGUCCCCUCGAGAGGCACCGAGGACGUCGCCUCCUUCCCUCUGCCCGAGCUGUGCAAAAAAGGGAGAUUUGGGGGAGAAAACGCCAAGCCGGCGUGUUCCAGGCCGCCAGCCAAAGGCAGGCUUAAAAUAGAUGCUUUCAUCUCCUCCGCCUGUCUGCCUCCCUGGCGCUCCCGGCCCCGCUGCCGCAGAGCCUCCCCGCUGCCUCCUGCCGAUAAGACCCGAAUUUUUCCCCCUUUUCCGGUGGAACUGAGGGGGUCUCGUCCCCACGAGUGGCCGAGCCCUGCUUCCCAUGCCCGAUUCCCCCGGACAUGGGGAAAAUCAGAAAACCCCCCUUCCGUGGGCUGCGCCGUGGCGCUUGUUCGCUCUGAAGCCUAAUGAUGGCACUUGGCUAUUCGCAGAGCCGGUCGGUCGAGGCGCUGAGCAGCCAGACGCUUGGUUCCUCCUCUGCUCCACGGCUUGGCCCCGAGGCACUCGCCCCAUUAUGCGGUGUGGGGGGGCACUGGGGUCCCCAAAAAUCAAAAAUUCCCCAGAUCAAAGGCGAACCAACACCAGCUUGCGGAGGCAGCGUGGGAGCAGCACAGGGAGGGGAAACCUGCUUCCUAAAUAAUACAGGAUUAUAUAUUCUUAUUUAUUUUACCAGAUUGCUAAUUAGCCUGUCCUCAACAGCACCCUUACGCUGGGAGCGAAGUGCACGCACCGACCUGCAGCCCUGGCUUCUGAAACAAAAAAAAUUAAAAAAAUGACACAAAGUCAUGCAUUUUUUAUUAUUUUGGCUGCAAAACCUCCGAGGCUUCCACGGCCGCGGGGCUGGCACUGCCUGCGAGGCAGCUAUUUUAAGGCUGCUUUCCUCUCACACCGCAGGAAAGCUGCAAAGCUGCUGGGAAAUGGCUUCCCUGGGCGGUGGAAGUGGGCAAAAAAGGGAGGUGCAUGCUGCUGUUUUCCCCCUUUUCCUCCCCGUUUUUGCUCCCAAGGUGGGCAGAGGGCUUUGGGGGGUCCCCCAGCCCUGGGGUUCUCCCCACUGCACCCCCACCAGGAGCCCCACGGGGUCAAAAUCGGACAGAAGGCACAGCACAAAGUGUGAGAGCUGAAUCCCCAAACCCCUCAAACCCUACUGCAAAGACAAAACAUCCCCAAAACGCCUCCCCCGACCCCCCCUUUUCGCCACCCCACAGACAGAAGUUUUCCCCAGGCCUCCGCUGGAAGGAAGAGCAACAGGUGGAAAGCCCAAAUCUCGACCCAGGAGCGGCAGCAAUGAGGCUGGGCUGGCUUUCCGGGAAAAAAUGGGGGAAAAAAAAAAAGGGGGGGGUGCAGGCAAAAAAUGCCUACAUGCUUCCUGCAAACUGCCCUGCUGUGACCGCGGCGCUGCGUGGCCGUGUCACCCGGGGGUGGCCGUGUCCCCCGCACCACCGCCUUCAUCCAGCACCCACUCCUCUCUACACAUCCAGAUUUGUUU